UCUACGACCACGCCUACAUAGUUUUGCAUGUUUACAAUUCUAAUUUUGAACAGCCAAUCGGGUUCUUGGUAACAAUUACAAUUAAAUCAAAAUUAGAAUUGUAAACAUGUAAAACUAUGUAGGUGCGGUCGUAGA